GACCCAUUAGCUCAGCCGGCAGAGCACCUGACUUUUAAUCAGGGUGUCGGGCGUUCGAAUCGCCCAUGGGUCACCA
rnacentral:tRNA from 1 species